AGAAGGUCCACUGUGAGGAGUUGUUUUCUGUCAGCGGACAAAUCAUGGCUCACAGUAAAAGCUGUUGACUUACUGGGGAUAUGUUUUCUUCUUUCUGCACCAAAAGAGCUUAGUGAGCUUUUAAGAGAAUUGAAGAGUUUCUUUCUCUAUGGCUCUGCUAAACAGAUCAACCACAGUUGAUGCCAUGAGAAAGCAUUUUGAGAUUCUCCCGGCUAGAAGAUAGCUGUUGUCCCCUGCCUCCUCUCCUGAUGGGUUUCUGCAGCAUACCGUGGGAACCCUUAUCUCAUCUGCAUAUGGUGUUCACAAAGGGCCUGCUGGAAGAUCCAAGUCCAGUCUGCACUCAUGAAGCACCUGCUCUGCAGAGGAAUUCAUCUUAG
rnacentral:lncRNA from 1 species